UAGAGUUUGUAGUCCUGGCGUCAGGAGUGAACGACUGGCGGCGAUGCUUAACACAUGCAAGUCGAACGGGAAGUGGUGUUUCCAGUGGUGAACGGGUGAGUAACGCGUAAGAACCUGCCCUUGGAGGGGAACGAACAACUGGAAACGGUUAGCUAAUACCCCGUAGGCUGAGGAGAAAAAGGAAGAAAUCACCCCAAGAGGGGCGUCACGUCUGAUUAGCUAGUUGGUGAGGUAAUAGCUUACCAAGGCGAUGAUCAGUAGCUGGCCCGAGAGGAUGAUCAACCACACUGGGACUGAGACACGACCCAGACUCCUACGGGAGGCAGCAGUGGGGAAUUUUUUCGCAAUGGGCGAAAGCCUGACGGAGCAAUGCCGCGUGGAGGUGGAAGGCCUACGGUUCGUCAACUUCUCUUCUCGGAGAAGAAACAAUGACGGUAUCUGAGGAAUAAGCAUCGGCUAACUCUGUG
rnacentral:rRNA from 1 species